rnacentral:lncRNA from 1 species
AAAAUAGAAAAUAAAUUUAUUCGGUAUUGUCACUCCCACAAUUGCCGUGAAUUUUUUUGCUCAAAUCAUUCAUAUAGUAGUAGAUCAUAGCCAAACUAUAUAUGGUGAACUCAUUUUCACAAACUACUGUUCAGGUCAUCUUCACUUAACUUCUCUAUCAAUUCAACUCACAUCAAGUUACUAAUAUUACUCAAGCUCGAGGUACCAUGGUUUGACUAUGGUAUCGAGUUUGAAUCACCAAAGGAGCAGAAAAGUUGGAAUCUCCAAG